rnacentral:tRNA from 2 species
GCUCCCUUAGUGUAGAGGCCAAUCAUGCGGGGCCUUCGACCCCGCGACAUGGGUUCAAAUCCCAUAGGGAGCA